rnacentral:rRNA from 1 species
UGGGGAAUAUUGGACAAUGGGCGAAAGCCUGAUCCAGCCAUGCCGCGUGUGUGAAGAAGGUCUUCGGAUUGUAAAGCACUUUAAGUUGGGAGGAAGGGCAGUAAGCGAAUACCUUGCUGUUUUGACGUUACCGACAGAAUAAGCCCCGGCUAACUCUGUGCCAGCAGCCGCGGUAAUACAGAGGGUGCAAGCGUUAAUCGGAAUUACUGGGCGUAAAGCGCGCGUAGGUGGUUCGUUAAGUUGAAUGUGAAAGCCCCGGGCUCAACCUGGGAACUGCAUCCAAAACUGGCGAGCUAGAGUACGGCAGAGGGUGGUGGAAUUUCCUGUGUAGCGGUGAAAUGCGUAGAUAUCGGAAGGAACACCAGAGGCGAAGGCGACCACCUGGGCUCAUACUGACACUGAGGUGCGAAAGCGUGGGGAGCAAACAGG